GGGCCUGUCGUUCAACGGUUAGGACAUAAAUCUUAUAAAUUUAGGACGAAAGUUCGACUCUUUCCAGGCCCA
rnacentral:tRNA from 1 species